rnacentral:snRNA from 1 species
AGUUUUGCACAGUGGCAGUAUGAUAGCCGAUGAAGUUUAUCUGAGGCAUGAUUACUGCUAAUUGAGAAACAUUAAUUCAACCAGACAUAGCACCACAAGCCUAUAACCCUAGCUACGCUAGAGGCUGAGGCAGAAGUUCAAGGAAAGCCUGGGCAACUUUCAAGGC